rnacentral:rRNA from 1 species
UGACUCUCGGCAACGGAUAUCUCGGCUCUCGCAUCGAUGAAGAACGUAGCAAAAUGCGAUACUUGGUGUGAAUUGCAGAAUCCCGUGAACCAUCGAAUCUUUGAACGCAAGUUGCGCCCGAAGCCAUCCGGCCGAGGGCACGCCUGCCUGGGCGUCACGCAUCG